AUAUCAAUAAGCGGAGGAAAAGAAACCAACCGGGAUUGCCUCAGUAACGGCGAGUGAAGCGGCAAAAGCUCAAAUUUGAAAUCUGGCCCUGUGGUCCGAAUUGUAAUUUGAAGAAGCGACUCUGGUACCGGCCCUUGUCUAUGUUCCUUGGAACAGGACGUCACAGAGGGUGAGAAUCCCGUGCGAUGGGGAGUCCGGAGCCAUGUAGAGCGUUUUCGACGAGUCGAGUUGUUUGGGAAUGCAGCUCUAAGUGGGUGGUAAAUUCCAUCUAAAGCUAAAUACAGGCGAGAGACCGAUAGCGAACAAGUACUGUGAAGGAAAGAUGAAAAGAACUUUGAAAAGAGAGUGAAAAAGUACGUGAAAUUGUUGAAAGGGAAGGGCUUGGGAUCAGACUUUGUAUUUCCAUGGCGUUCUUUCGGGAGCGUCCUCUGGGUUUACGGGGCCAGCAUGGGUUCUGCGGGCAAGACAAGGGGGCCAGGAACGUGGCUCUGCUUCGGCGGAGUGUUAUAGCCUGGACUUUCGGUUGCCACGCGGGACUGAGGACUGCGAAUCUAGGAUGCUGGCAUAAUGAUCUUAAGCCG
rnacentral:rRNA from 1 species